rnacentral:rRNA from 1 species
GCUAGCAGCUAGCUCUCUGCACCUCUCACAUGUUCGCCCACUGAAGCUAAGCAGGGCUGCGCCCGGCCAUUAACUGGAUAGGGAGACCACAUGGGAAAGCUAGGUUGCUGUUGGAA